UUUGGGCCCGGCUGUUUCAUUUGGUAUCAAAGCCACCCUGGGUCAAACAAAUUGUGCGGAGCUAGUGGGCCUGCGAGGAAAGGGCUACCCGUGAAAGACGAGGUGGAGCCGCCCGAGGUACUAGCGAACCACAAUACCUAAGGGUCCGGUCCUGGUGAGCAAUUGUAACCGAUUCAGUUGCGACGAGGACGUCGCAAAAAUUUAGUGGGUCCGAGUGUGACGGUCAGCUGCUUCCAGCUGCCUGCUUGCGGAUUUGCGGCGCAAAUCCGUCCCACAUCGGAA
rnacentral:lncRNA from 1 species